rnacentral:rRNA from 1 species
GACGAACCGAGCGAACGUUGUUCGGAAUCACUGGGCUUAAAGGGCGCGUAGGCGGGUGCUCAAGUCUGUGGUGAAAUCCUCCGGCUCAACCGGAGAACUGCCAUGGAUACUGGGUGUCUCGAGGGUGGUAGGGGUAUGCGGAACUAUCGGUGGAGCGGUGAAAUGCGUUGAUAUCGAUAGGAACUUCGGUGGCGAAGGCGGCAUACUGGACCACUUCUGACGCUGAGGCGCGAAAGCCAGGGGAGCAAACGGG